GACGAACGCUGGCGGCGUGCCUAAUACAUGCAAGUCGAACGCUUCUUUCCUCCCGAGUGCUUGCACUCAAUUGGAAAGAGGAGUGGCGGACGGGUGAGUAACACGUGGGUAACCUACCCAGCAGAGGGGGAUAACACUUGGAAACAGGUGCUAAUACCGCAUAACAGUUUAUGCCGCAUGGCAUAAGAGUGAAAGGCGCUUUCGGGUGUCGCUGAUGGAUGGACCCGCGGUGCAUUAGCUAGUUGGUGAGGUAACGGCUCACCAAGGCCACGAUGCAUAGCCGACCUGAGAGGGUGAUCGGCCACACUGGGACUGAGACACGGCCCAGACUCCUACGGGAGGCAGCAGUAGGGAAUCUUCGGCAAUGGGCGAAAGUCUGACCGAGCAACGCCGCGUGAGUGAAGAAGGUUUUCGGAUCGUAAAACUCUGUUGUUAGAGAAGAACAAGGACGUUAGUAACUGAACGUCCCCUGACGGUAUCUAACCAGAAAGCCACGGCUAACUACGUG
rnacentral:rRNA from 1 species